rnacentral:lncRNA from 1 species
GACCCUGGAGAGGCAGUCCUUUAACUGGCAUCAGCGCUGCGGCUGGAGGCGCGGGUGUCGCUCAGUUGACUGUCCAGUUCUACCUUGGUCUGUGCAGCAGCCCUAGAUCUGCGAACUCUGUGCCGCCGCUCCCUGUACCCUGUCUUGAGGCAGCAAGCGCUAAGAAUUCAUGCUACGACACUCGAUUCUGCCCGGAGGUGACACCAGAUGUGAUCAGAAGCCAUGCCAUUGGUGAAGAGGUAUAUUGAGCCCCGUCUAGCCCAGUGAGGUUACUAGAAAAUUGGGAGAGGCUUAAACCAACAUCCUGCACAUGGUUAUCAAAUCGUUGUGAAGUCUGAAAAUCACCUAGGAUGCCUCUAAAAAUGCAGAUUCCUGGGCAGCCAGAAACCUUGUCCUUGGUCAACACUACCACCUACCUGUCACUUAUAUUGCGGCUUCCUGCCCAGUGGGUUCAUCAGCAAGCCAGAAUGAAUCUCCUCCAUUGCCAUAGAUGUCCUUGUGAGGUGGAAGCCUUGACCUUUAGAAACAACUUGUCAAGUCCUCACCAUGAAUACCAUUAGAAUUGCAGUUGGAAUGGCACAGAUUAAUUUUUGAAGAGCUGUCAUCUUUAUAAUCUUCUAAUACAUGAAUGUGGAGGAUCUGGUAGAAGACUUUGUGCAAGGCAGAAGAAAAGGAAGGACGUGGAGAAUGACUACCGCCUGUCUUCAUCUCAGCUUCACAAAGCAUGACUCAACAGAAGGAUCAUUCUCUUGAGACUCUCCAGACCACAGGCCAUCUGAAGCAGCCAUCAUCUGGGAGAAGCCUUGUUGUGAAAGAGUAAAUGAAGCCUCAGUGAGUGUUUGGAGUGGCACCCAUGUUUUUCUCUGGAUAUAAGGAGAGAGAAGAAGGCUGUGAAAUACCAUACUGGAGUAACAGAAAUUUGACAUUUUAGUAGAUAACUGGACCUAGAAACCUACAUUAAUGAAGGAAGCAAACCUGAGAUCUCUGAUGUUUGUGAGUGAAGAUAGGAAUGAACUCCUUAUUACCCUUAGUAAUGGAGAGAGGGGAGAAAAGUGAGGGAGGUCAUAAAAUCCUUUAUGUCCCUGGAGGAGGCCCUGAGAUUUGCUUCAUAAACCAGUUUUUAAGGUGGAUUAAAGAUGAGUUGUUGCACUACUUCCAUUGCUCUUGGUGUGAGAGUCUCUGCUAAGCACUCUUCUCAGGUACAGCUGCCUUUGUGAAAAUUUCUGUUGUGACCCCUAUUGGGAAACAACCCAGAACAAGGUUUGCAACUUAGAAAUCUCUGGAUCAGUGACAGAGUUUUAAAGGAGUUGAGGACAGAGGACAUAGCACAAAUAGUAUCAAAUAGCUCGGAUUUUUUCAUCUAGGAUGGAUGGGGUAGGGGCAGAGGGCACAGUGGUUCUAGGCAACUCCAAACACCUGGUAAGGCAGCUAUAAGGAAACAGUACAAUGAAAGGUCAACCCUUAGACCUAUUAUUUGUCAAUCCCUAGAGCAUGAUAGAAUAUCUAACAAGAAGAGCUGCUUUGGAGACAAGUCAUAAAAGAUUCUUUCAUAGAAGAGAUUUAGAAGAGGGGAACUUGGGACUCCUGGGUGGCUCAGCAGUUGAGCAUCUACCUUCGGCUCAGGGCGUGAUCCUAGAGUUCUGGGAUCGAGUCCCUGCGAGGAGCCUGCUUCUCCCUCUCCCUAUGUCUCUGCCUUCUCUGUGUCUCUCAUGAAUAAAUAAAUAAAAUCUUUUUUUAAAAAAAGGGGAACUUCCAGUUAUGUCAUAUGGGCAUUACAGCUUUUAAAAGCAUCUGUUCCCUAUAUAGGUCAUGGAGAUUGACACUAAUCUCAGCUUGUGUGCUGACUAGGCCAGUAUUGACAUAGAAGUUUCAUGCUCUUGGAGAGAUACUGCCACUCUCUUGCUUUGACAGGUGUUCAUCUGUAGUAUGAGUCCAGUACUUGAAGGAACAAGAGGACAACAAGCAUCCAGGGGACAACAGUGUGGUCUUCUAAGUAAAGAUGGCAACAGAAAAGAUCAUGGACUUGGCUAGAUUGGGCUGGGCUUGUUUGUUGUUUCAGAAUUUUAAAAAUACUUAUUUUCUUGAUGAUAAAAGUAACAUGAUCAUUGUUGAAAAAUCAGAGGUGUAAAUUAAAAAAUAAAGAACACCUAUAAAAAAAAAAAGAACACCUAUAAUCUUAUAACCUAGAAAACAACUCAAUAUUUGAGUAUGUUUCCUUUUAAGUUUUUAUUUUAAUUCCAGUUCGUAUACAGUGUUAUAUUAGUUUUAGGUGUAUAAUUUUAAAGCAAAAUUGACAUCAUACUGUGUAUGUUGUUCUCCAUCUUUUUUCAUUUGAAAAUAAACAGUGUAUUUCCAUGUCAUUACCAUCCUUUGAAAACACAGUAUUGUGUUACAUAAUAUUUCAUAUGGAUCUCACAAAAUUUAGGUAGAUGAUUACAUGCUCCUGGACAUUUUGCAUAUUACCAGUUUUGCCUAUAAAAUGUAAUAAACAUUGUACAUUAAUCAUUAUGUACAUUCUUAAUUAUUUCUUUGCAGUAAAUUUCUAGAAUUGGGAUUGCUGAGUUUCAGUGAUGAGACCAUUAUUUGGGCAUCUGAAAGAUGUUGAAUUGUCCCCAAUAUAGUUGUACAAAUUAUAUUCCCAUCAGUGGUGUAUAAAUGUGUGUAUUUCUCUACACAUUCAUCAAAAUAUGACCUUUCUCUCUUUUCAUAAAUCUCUGCUCAUUGAAUAGGUAAAAAUAUAUAUCUGUUCUAUUAGAGAUUUUUAUUUGUAAUUUACAUACAGUAAAAUUCAGCCCUGAUUCAUAGUCCUAUGGUUAUUUUUUUUUAAGAUUUUACUUUUUUGAGAGCACGCAGGAGCAAUGGGGAGGGGCAGAGGGAAAAGCAGACUCUCCACCGGGCAGGGGAUGGGGUGAGAGAGGCUGGCUCCAUCCCAGGACCCUUAGAUCAUGACCUGAACUGAAGACCUAUGCUUAACCCAUUGAGCCACCCAAGCACCCCAUUUCUAUGGGUUUUGACAAGUAUAAUCAUGUAUAUAUACUACUUUAGUAUCAUUCAAAAACAGUUUUAUUACUAAUACUUUCUCUCAAUUUUUCUUUUUGUUGUAAACCUCUUUCCCCUUUACCAAUCCCUGAAAACCACUGAUUUGCUUUCCAUCCCUAUGGUUUUUCCCUUUCCAGAGGUCAUAUGAUUGAAAUCAUGCAAUAUGUAGAUAUUUUGGUCUGGUUUCUUUCACUUAGUGAAAUGCAUUUAAGAUCCAUCCAUGUUAUGAGAAUUAUUAGUUUAUUCCUUUUUAUUGUUAUAUUUCAUUGCAUGAAUGUACCACAGUUUUUUAUCCAUUCACUAAUUGAUGGACAUGUAAGAUGUUUCCAGUUUGGGCAAUUAUGAAUAAAAUUUCUAUAAACU